GAGUUUUAACCACAGUUAGAGUAUUUCCUCUCCACUGUCCCUGGGCGGCCACAAGUUGUUUAAAAUGUUUUUGGAAAUGAAAAUCUUGAUUCUUCAGGAUGAAGUUACCAACAUCUGUCAUUUUGUCUUCACUCUUCCCCACCAGAACAGUCCUGAGUGCAGACACUGUAAUAAAAGAGAGAAAGUCACAGUUUAGUGUAGAUGGCAACAGGUGAGUGGAGCCAAAUUCAGACAAGAGGAAACAGGAGGCAGUGUGACUGAAAACCGCCUGUAACACUGGUUCUCUUUUUUUGGACCAGCACCCCCUCAUCCAUCAUCCAGGUCCCUGUUGGACCCCCAUCAGAUAAAUCCUGAUCAAGGAGGAAAAAAAUCUUCUUCAUCUUUUUCUCUUUUCUUGUAAUACCUGUAGGCUACUGACUAUUUCUAUUAAUGAAAACUACAUAGACACGACACAUGUUUGGUCUGUCACUAUAGAUCAAGAGUUUAAUGUUAAUCUAUCCAGCUCCUCCUCCCCUCUGACACUAUGGAGAUAAUCUUGGCACAGUGAAGACACACAGCAGGCCUGAUACUAGCAUCUCUAACAGGAUCCAAGUUGACGAGGAAUCCUUCAGCUUGUUUCAGGCUUUGAUGACCAGCAGACCUGGACUCUCCUCUCUGGGUGCUGAUAUCAGAACCAGUGUAUGAUCAAAUGAUUGAUCACUGAAGAGGUUCAGGACUCUGCAGAGCUUCAGUUUGUGUUCCUCAGUGAAGUCUUCAGGCUGUAGAACCAGCAGGA